CUCAUAGAGUACACAAGUCAGAAUAAGCCUAUGUCAGUUAUCUGGUCUUUAACAGAUCCAGGAUCUGGUACAGCUGCCAUGAUGAACAACAGCUCAAGAGGCUCUUCCCCUACCAGGAUGAUGGAUGAAGACAAGUAAACUGUUCUCCAAGAGCCUGAAGUCCCCUCAGUUCCCAGCAUUACAUCUUCAGCUGAGCAUCCAGUAGGAGUUAAUAUGACUCCAAAAGGGCCCCCUCCUUUCCCUGGAGUCCCUCUUAUGAGCACCCCCAUGGGAGGCGCUGUACCACCACCCAUUCAAUAUGGACCACCACCUCAGUUCUGUGGACCUUUCGGG